rnacentral:rRNA from 1 species
AUUGAACGCCGGCGGCAUGCUUUACACAUGCAAGUCGAACGGUAACAGGGUGCUUGCACCGCUGACGAGUGGCGAACGGGUGAGUAGUACAUCGGAAUGUACCCAGUAAUGGGGGAUAACGCUUCGAAAGGAGUGCUAAUACCGCAUACGGCCUGAGGGGGAAAGUGGGGGACCGCACGGCCUCACGUCAUGGGAGCAGCCGGUGGCUGAUUAGCUAGUUGGUGAGGGAAAGGCUCACCAAGGCGACGAUCAGUUGCGGGUCUUAGGGGACGAUCCGCCACACUGCAACUGAGAGACGGUCCAGGCUCCUACGGGAGGCAGCAGUGGGGAAUCUUGGACAAUGGGCGAAAGCCUGAUCCAGCAAUGCCGCGUGCGUGAAGAAGGCCUUCGGGUUGUAAAGCGCUUUUGUCUGGGAGCAAAUCCUGGCCUCUAAUACAGGUCGGGGAUGAGAGUACCAGAAGAAUAAGGACCGGCUAACUAAGUGCCAGCAGCCGCAGUAAGAC